GAUGAAGAACGCAGCGAAAUGCGAUACGUAAUGUGAAUUGCAGAAUUCAGUGAAUCAUCGAGUCUUUGAACGCACAUUGCGCCCCCUGGUAUUCCGGGGGGCAUGCCUGUCCGAGCGUCAUUGCUGCCCUCAAGCACGGCUUGUGUGUUGGGCCUCCGUCCUCCUCCCGGGGGACGGGCCCGAAAGGCAGCGGCGGCACCGCGCCCGGUCCUCGAGCGUAUGGGGCUUCGUCACCCGCUCUUGUAGGCCCGGCCGGCGCUUGCCGACACAUCAAUCUUUUUUCCAGGUUGACCUCGGAUCAGGUAGGGAUACCCGCUGAACUUAAGCAUAUCAAUAAGCGGAGGA
rnacentral:misc_RNA from 1 species